UACACACCGCCCGUCACACCAUGGGAGUUGGUUUCACCCGAAGGUGGGUGCGCUAACCCGCAAGGGAGGCAGCCAACCACGGUGGGAUCAGCGACUGGGGGUG
rnacentral:rRNA from 1 species